GGAGGGUGCCAGCGUUAUCCGGAUUAAUUAGGUUUAAAGGGUGUGCAGGCGGACUAACAAGUCGGCUGUGAAAUUUACGGGCUCAACCCGUGACUUGCGGUCGAAACUGUUGGUCUUGAGUGAAGAUGCUGCAGNCGGAAUGUGUGGUGUANCGGUGAAAUGCAUAGAUACCACCCAGAACCCCGAUUGCGAAGGCAGCUUGCAAAACUUCCACUGACGCUGAUGCACGAAAGCGUGGGUAGCGAACAGGAUUAGAUACCCUGGUAGUCCACGCAGUAAACGAUGACCACUGGCUUUUGGUGAUACACAAUCAGAGGCUGAGCGAAAGCAUUAAGUGGUCCACCUGGGGAUUACGUUCGCAAGAAUGAAACUCAAAGGAAUUGACGGGGGCCCGCACAAGCGGAGGAACAUGUGGUUUAAUUCGAUGAUACGCGAGGAACCUUACCUGGGCUUGAACUGUCAGUGACGCUUGGGGAAACCCAAGUUCCCUUCUGGGCGCUGUCAGAGGUGCUGCAUGGCUGUCGUCAGCUCGUGCCGUGAGGUGUCGGGUUAAGUCCCAUAACGAGCGCAACCCCUAUUGCUAGUUACCAGCACGUAAAGGUGGGGACUUUAGUGAGACUGCCACCGUAAGGUGAGAGGAAGGCGGGGAUGACGUCAAGUCAGCACGGCCCUUAUGUCCAGGGCUACACACGUGUUACAAUGGCCGGUACAACGGGCAGCCAAGGGGCGACCCUGCGCCAAUCCCCAAAGCCGGCACUUAGUUCGGAUCGCAGUCUGCAACCCGACUGCGUGAAGGUGGAUUCGCUAGUAAUCGCGCAUCAGCCAUGGCGCGGUGAUACGUUCCCGGGCAUUGUACACACCGCCCGUCAAGCCAUGGAAGUUGGGGUUACACUGAAGUCCGUAACCGCAAGGAGCGGCACUAGGGUAAGUCCAGUGACUGGGCUAAGUCGUA
rnacentral:rRNA from 1 species